rnacentral:rRNA from 1 species
UACGUAGGGUGCAAGCGUUGUCCGGAAUUAUUGGGCGUAAAGAGCUUGUAGGCGGUUUGUCGCGUCUGCUGUGAAAUUUCGGGGCUCAACCCCGAACUUGCAGUGGGUACGGGCAGACUAGAGUGUGGUAGGGGAGACUGGAAUUCCUGGUGUAGCGGUGAAAUGCGCAGAUAUCAGGAGGAACACCGAUGGCGAAGGCGGCUACCUGGACCGGUUCUGACGCUGAUGCGCGAAAGCGUGGGUAGCAAACAGG